CCUACGGGUGGCAGCAGUAGGGAAUCUUCCACAAUGGGCGAAAGCCUGAUGGAGCAACGCCGCGUGGAUGAAGAAGGUCUUCGGAUCGUAAAACCCUGUUGUUAGAGAAGAAAGUUCGUGAGAGUAACUGUUCACGUUUCGACGGUAUCUAACCAGAAAGCCACGGCUAACUGCGUGCCAGCAGCCGCGGUAAUACGUAGGUGGCAAGCGUUAUCCGGAUUUAUUGGGCGUAAAGGGAACGCAGGCGGGAUGUUAAGUCUGAUGUGAAAGCCUUGGGCUUAACCUGAUUAGUGGAUUGGAAACUGGGAGACUUGAGUGAAGAAGAGGAGAGCGGAACGCCAUGUGUAGCGGUGAAAUGCGUAGAUAUACGGAAGAACACCAGUGGCGAAAGCG
rnacentral:rRNA from 1 species